AUGCAAAACAAAGAUCAAGCAAGCACGCACCGUGGAACCAGCUCACAAGCAUUGCAUUUCCAUGGCCGGUUCCCAGCCGAAGCACCAGCUCCCCCGCCAGCCCGCCCACCAAACAAGUCAGAUCCUCUAGAACCGUCAAGCACUAUAAAUACCCAAGGCAUGGCACAUCACCGCCGCACCACAAGAGCAACCAUCCACAUCCACGAGACACACACAGCACAGCAUCGGCGUAAAGGGAACACCAGCAAGAUGUCUCAGCUCGCCCGCGCCAGCCUGACUGCGAUGGCGAUGCUCCUUCUCCUUGCCGCUGCUGCGGCGGCGGCGGGGCCGGCGGCCGGCGGCGCGGCUGUGGCGGACCCAGCAGGCUGCCAGGACGACGUUGUGGCGCUCAACGAGGCCUGCUACAAGUACGUGCAGAAGGGCGCGCCGACGGUGCCGCCGUCGCAGGAGUGCUGCGACGCCGUGAAGAGCGUGGACGUGCCCUGCGUCUGCAGCUACCUGGGCAGCCCCGGCGUGAGGGACAACAUCAGCAUGGAGAAGGUGUUCUACGUCUCCCAGCAGUGCGGCGUCAGCAUCCCUGGGAACUGCGGAGGAUCGAAGGUCUGA
rnacentral:rRNA from 1 species